rnacentral:rRNA from 1 species
AUGGCUCAGAUUGAACGCUGGCGGCAGGCCUAACACAUGCAAGUCGAGCGGCAGCACGGGUACUUGUACCUGGUGGCGAGCGGCGGACGGGUGAGUAAUGCCUAGGAAUCUGCCUGGUAGUGGGGGAUAACGUUCGGAAACGAACGCUAAUACCGCAUACGUCCUACGGGAGAAAGCAGGGGACCUUCGGGCCUUGCGCUAUCAGAUGAGCCUAGGUCGGAUUAGCUAGUUGGUGAGGUAAUGGCUCACCAAGGCGACGAUCCGUAACUGGUCUGAGAGGAUGAUCAGUCACACUGGAACUGAGACACGGUCCAGACUCCUACGGGAGGCAGCAGUGGGGAAUAUUGGACAAUGGGCGAAAGCCUGAUCCAGCCAUGCCGCGUGUGUGAAGAAGGUCUUCGGAUUGUAAAGCACUUUAAGUUGGGAGGAAGGGCAGUUACCUAAUACGUAAUUGUUUUGACGUUACCGACAGAAUAAGCACCGGCUAACUCUGUGCCAGCAGCCGCGGUAAUACAGAGGGUGCAAGCGUUAAUCGGAAUUACUGGGCGUAAAGCGCGCGUAGGUGGUUCGUUAAGUUGGAUGUGAAAUCCCCGGGCUCAACCUGGGAACUGCAUUCAAAACUGUCGAGCUAGAGUAUGGUAGAGGGUGGUGGAAUUUCCUGUGUAGCGGUGAAAUGCGUAGAUAUAGGAAGGAACACCAGUGGCGAAGGCGACCACCUGGACUGAUACUGACACUGAGGUC